rnacentral:rRNA from 1 species
UGGGGAAUAUUGCACAAUGGGCGCAAGCCUGAUGCAGCCAUGCCGCGUGUGUGAAGAAGGCCUUCGGGUUGUAAAGCACUUUCAGCGAGGAGGAAGGGUUCAGUGUUAAUAGCACUGUUCAUUGACGUUACUCGCAGAAGAAGCACCGGCUAACUCCGUGCCAGCAGCCGCGGUAAUACGGAGGGUGCAAGCGUUAAUCGGAAUUACUGGGCGUAAAGCGCACGCAGGCGGUUUGUUAAGUCAGAUGUGAAAUCCCCGCGCUUAACGUGGAACUGCAUUUGAAACUGGCAAGCUAGAGUCUUGUAGAGGGGGGUAGAAUUCCAGGUGUAGCGGUGAAAUGCGUAGAGAUCUGGAGGAAUACCGGUGGCGAAGGCGGCCCCCUGGACAAAGACUGACGCUCAGGUGCGAAAGCGUGGGGAGCAAAACAGGAUUAGAUACCCUGGUAGUCCACGCUGUAAACGAUGUCGACUUGGAGGUUGUGCCCUUGAGGCGUGGCUUCCGGAGCUAACGCGUUAAGUCGNCCGCCUGGGGGAGUACGGCCGCAAGGU